CAUGAAGAACGCAGCGAAAUGCGAUAAGUAGUGUGAAUUGCAGAAUUCAGUGAAUCAUCGAAUCUUUGAACGCACAUUGCGCCCCUUGGUAUUCCAUGGGGCAUGCCUGUUCGAGCGUCAUUUGUACCUUCAAGCUCUGCUUGGUGUUGGGUGUUUGUCUCGCCUCUGCGUGUAGACUCGCCUCAAAACAAUUGGCAGCCGGCGUAUUGAUUUCGGAGCGCAGUACAUCUCGCGCUUUGCACUCAUAACGACGACGUCCAAAAGUACAUUUUUACACUCUUGACCUCGGAUCAGGUAGGGAUACCCGCUGAACUUAAGCAUAUCAAUAAGCGGAGGA
rnacentral:misc_RNA from 1 species